rnacentral:misc_RNA from 1 species
GAUGAAGAACGUAGCGAAAUGCGAUAAGUAGUGUGAAUUGCAGAAUUCAGUGAAUCAUCGAAUCUUUGAACGCACAUUGCGCCCCUUGGUAUCCCGAGGGGCAUGCCUGUUCGAUCGUCAUUUCACCACUCAAGCCUGGCUUGGUGUUGGGCGACGUCCCCUUUGGGGACGCGCCUCGAAACGCUCGGCGGCGUGGCACCGGCUUUAAGCGUAGCAGAAUCUUUCGCUUUGGAAGUCGGGGCCCCGUCUGCCGGAAGACCUACUCGCAAGGUUGACCUCGGAUCAGGCAGGGAUACCCGCUGAACUUAAGCAUAUCAAUAAGCGGAGGA